GAGCUUUACGCGUUCUCUUUUUUUUCCACCGCUUGACCUGCUUUUCUUGUUUUCCUUUGUUUCAUUCCUUUUUUUUUUCGCUGCUUUGUGCCGUCGUGUAUGUCCUGAUACUCUUCCUCUCACCUCCGUCCCAUCUCUCCCCUCAGCGGCCCAAGCUUGCAGCGCUUCUCGUAUUCCUCCUUGUCUCGGCUUCCGCUGCUGGUGCUAUUGCUGUGCCUUGCUCGCUGGGUACGCGUAUCGGGUUGCCUCGUGCGCGCGCGUGCAACUCAUCUGCCCUCUUUAUCUCGCUGUGUUUUUACCCACCCUCCACCUACUUUUCCUCCGCACUUGCUGCACGUGCGACUGGAGAGUUUUCUCAUCACACCGGAACCCGACAGCGACUGCCGCGCUGCACGAAACGCGUGCUUCUUUGAAUCAACUAACACCUCUUACAUCGCCUUUCUUUUCCUACCCACUCUUUCCACUUCAUCCCUCAUACACUCCGUCGCGGGCACGACUGCUACGUGAGAGCCCUGCUAUCUCUCCUUUCUUCCCUUUUUUUUCGUGUUUACCGCGCGCCGCGUGAAAGAAGGAAAGGGCAUCAAUUCACACUCCCACUUCCCACAAAGAAAAAAGAGAAGAGGGAUACAGCUGCUGCGACCUGGUGGAGAGCGACUUCACAAAACGCGAAGGCCGAUCUGUAAGGCUGCGCACUGACACGGAACACGCACUUACGUAUACAUAUCCAAACCUAUCAUCCUCCCGUUCCUCUCAUCGCGCACACAGCUUCCUCUCUCAGUGUGCGUGCAUUGAGUCUGAAGGGCGGGAGAAACCGCAUCGCGUAAGCCCUCACGUUUUAUCUUGUGUUGUUGUGCCUGGCGGCUUUUCCUACAUACCCGCUUUUCCCUUUGUUUUUGCGUAUUUCUUUCUCUCCUCCUCGCCAACUCUCUCUGUAAGUGAAUCUGCGUCGCGGUUCCCGUUUCGCAAGAGCGUCAGCCUCCUCCCUCUCUUUCUCCUCGCCGCAGUACCCACGGCAACCUUUGCGCACCCGCAAGGGCUCACUGGUGAGCGCGCAGUUUUUUUUUCUGCGUUGUCCUCCUUGUUCUUGUGACGGUCUCCCCGCAAAUCCUUUCCGCUGCCUUCCCCAUCUUCCGCCUCUCUUUUCUCGCUCUGUCCUUGCCACACCUCUGUCUCUUCCGUGUGUGAGCCGGGGAACGUUCUCAGGCACGUUUCUUCUCACUGACCCUGUCCCUCCCUCCCAAGUCGCUGCAUUCUUUUUCUCUUCCCUUUUCGUUCCCUCUCUCUCGCUGAGCGCCACUACUCCACUGCAGACCGCCCGCUCACCCUUCCUCCUCUUCCACGGGGUAGUCUCUCGUCCUUGCUGAAAAUCAUACUCUCAAAGAUUGACGUGUUGGAAGCAUCCAAAGGUGCGGGGGCCAGUGCGUGUCUGUCUGGGUGUGCGGGAGGAGCUCAGAACUCGGGAUAGGGGCGCAGGACACCCACGUCGUACAACAGCGCUGCCUGUGGAGGGGAGCGAGCGAGCGAGAUAGAGAGCUGAGAGACGGCCGAUCUUCUUCCCUCGACCCCAGAGACCUCUCUCCUCAAUUCACAAAUAGAAGGAGCGAGGCGGAGAGCGCACGUUCCUCCUCCUGCUCCACACCUCUCAACAUACGCACGCACGCACACACACAGGAAGGUGCCACCUCAGAAGCACUGAAAAGUGCGUGCAUCAAACACGGAGAUACGGAGUGCGCCAUCUCUCGUGUUGCCCCCCCCCUUGCGCUUUUACUGUUUUUUUUUUUGUGUGGCGCAUUUGACUUUGUCCGCGCAUUCUGUGGCGGUUUCCUAGUAGGGACGGCUCAUAGCAGCACGGUCAACGCCAGGCAAGCAGCCACUGCUACUCUCGCCGUUAGUGGGUUUCCCCCUCGACCCACCGCCGCGUUCUGCUCCUCCCUUUCCCACACCCCCUGCGAUUCCGCGACGCACACCCACCAGAAAGUACGCUCACCUACAGAAGCACACAUCCGCACACAACACACACACACACACACACGCACACGGAAAUCAUACCAUCAAAGGGGCCUGGGGAACGAAGAGGGAAAACUUAUAUAUACAUACAACUUAUUUUUAUCGCUUCACACCACAAAACACCCUUCGAAGGAUAGGCUGCAAACGGCAAAACAGCUCGAGGGAUUGAAAGAAAGGAACACCCUCGCCCUUUUUCCUGCGUCACCUCUCGUACACCGCCGCAUCCUCUCUACCCUCCCUUCCAUCCCGGCAGAGCACACAGAGCUAAAGAAAUAGGCUCAGCGGACACGCACGCGAUAGACGUCGCUUGAAAGCAGCAGAGCGUAGUUGUGCGGAAGAGUUCCUUAUUUUUCUUUUCGAGGUCUCUCCGCUCGCCUCUUUCUCAAGGGGCACUUCUGUUUGCAGUGUUUGUGUUUUCUUCCUGCUUUUGGGCCGUCCGUCGCUUUCCCAUCGGUUUGUUCUGACUCGGACAAGGACCCCCUUUUUUUGUACUCGCUCCCUCCCUCGAUAUCAACCUCCGCUUGUUGGCGCUUGUGUCUGCUCCCUUUUCACGCUCCCUUUAUCUUUUUUUCCCCUCCCUUUCCGUCUGGGCCCGUCUCUUACUUUGCGGUUGCUGCUUCCUUGCUGCGCCCCUGCCCCUUCCCUUCACUUGCUCAUCUACCUGUUUUACCAGUCGCUUCUCGCCAUCUCUUUUUCUUUUUCUCGCGUACACCUGCGUCGGAAGUCGUUGGUAGGAGGCGACUGCCUUCGUUCUCUUUCCCGCUUGCUUCACGGUCUCUUGCUCCAUACGCUUUUCUGCUCCUUUCGCUUAAGCAAUAGCAGUGCCUCCAAUCGGCUGUGCAGUCGCUCUUGUUCAUCCUUGGUAAUGCUGAGCACCAUGGAUAGCAGCGCCUCUCCCGUUUGCCGCUCUCCAAGCUCGAAGAGCUACGCGACCCGCCGCGUCCGUUCACCUGUCGUGCUCAACCUCGUCGAGGAUAAUCUGAAGGAAUCGUGCAGCGGCGAGGCGUUCGGCUCGUCGCAGCCCGCGAGCCUGACGUCGAGCGGCGGAGGGCCUCGUACAUCGGCCUUAUCUCCGAGCAGGAUGGGAAAGUCAGUUCUUACAGCGGAGGAACGAGAGAACGUUCUCACCACGCUCACGCCGAACUCGCGGCCACGCCGCAAAUCAGACAAUGCGGUGACGCUAAGUAGCUCUUCCUCGGUUCGGGGAUCGCAGGAGAAGGGAAGCAACUCAAAAUUAAGAGCAGUCAAGCUGUGUAAGUUUUCUGCGCUGCCGCAGGCCCCGCACACCUCUGCUAAUCUCGACACGUGUACAUCACCGGUGCAGCGGAGCGUCUCCUCGCGACGGGCGAGGAGGUCCGUGUCGCUCACGUCCUCUGUUCUGACCUCCAGGCCGACGGAGGAAUUGGCGGCAUCUUCUACGCCCUCUAACCCACCACUAAUGCCGGAGUUACCAGCCCCAUUGUCUUCGCGCGAGCACUCAGCCGCGAUUUCGGAGGAGGUGGAUGAGUGCUGCAUCUGCUUGGAGGUGUACACAAACGAGAACCCGAUGUUCCGCGGCGCGUGCCAGCAUCAUUUUCAUCUUCCUUGUCUCAUGGAAUGGAAGCAGCGCAGCAGCUUGUGCCCGAUGUGCUGUGCCGAAACACUCCGAGGUAUCGGCGAGUUUGAGGGCUCACAUCAAUGCGCAGCUGCAGAUCCAGCUGAGGUGGCUCGACAGCGCGCUAUCGCGAAGCGCGACGCCGAAAUCGCGCACAAUCUGCAGCACAACUAUCUUCUUCAGGCGCAGCUUCGUGGCAGGCAAUAUGCAUACGCUACGCAAGCCGUGCGGUCGUUUCAGGGGCUGCACAGUGGUUCACCAAGCAGUUCGACCAGCCGCACACCGCCGCACACCGCCGAGGUUGAGGAGCACCCCUUGAGCACAUUGCAGGCUCACAAUAGGUGUAACGCGCAACGAUCAGGCGGCAUCGUACGCCAGUCGCCACCACCGGAGAACGUACACCAGCCCCGUGUUACGGCGAAUGCGCACUCGCAGUUAACCGCACCGCCGGCGCAUCCAAGCAUGGAGGAAAGUCGACGUUCGCGCAGCAAGUCACAGGCGGGGUGCGCUGUCAUGUAGAGUGGGGAUCGGUGCGUGCUGUUGCUCUCAACGAUAAUUUUCCUCCUCCUCGCCAUUGCUCCCCACCUGCCCCUCUCUCGCUCCGAUGACGGUUAGUUGCUCUCACCCUAUCACCGUAUUCACAACUUGUAUUUGCCGCUAGUGUAGUGAGCCCAGCCCAUCUUCCGUUUUCCGGUAUGUUUUCCCUUUUUUGUGCUCGUGCUCGUGCUUGUAUAUGCUCUUCUCUCGUUUUUGUUGUUUUCGUGUCUUUUCCAAGCCUCUCUUGUGCUCUUCCGCCGCGUUCGUACCUCCGCCACACUCAGCUUGUAUAUAUAUAUAUUUAUCUCCGUAUCUUUGCUUCUUUGUUUGCUGGUGUCCCUCUCUCGCCCUUUUGCAUCUACUUCGCCGUGUGUCCUUUCUGUGUCUGCGUGUUGUGCUCAUCUACUCCUCCGUGCCUCUCUCCAGCGAGACGUCCGUUGUUGUCUUUCCAGGUGCCUGGAUGGGCGUAUGCAUGUAUGUAGGUAUGUGUGUGUGUGUGUGUGCGUAUGUAUAUAUGUCUGUGUGCUUGUACAUGGGUAUGUGACUCGAACAGGCUAACAACGUCAUUGUGCGUUCGAGUGCUCCGGUUGCUCGACCUCUCUGUCCCGUUUCGCUGCACCGACUUCUUCUUCCCUCCUUCGAAGCUAUCCCUCCAUUAUCUGCUGCCGGCAAAGACAGGAAACAAAAAGAAGAGGGUGCACGCAAAGAGGGAGAAGCAGUGUGUGCUGCGAAUUGUGGACUUGGUCUCUUGCCCGAGACUCACGCCACCCACCACCCUCUUUUCUGUUUUGUUUCAUCCUCCUUUCUCUGUAGGUCCUCGCUUCGCUCUUCUCUCUCACACAGAGAGACAAAGGCAUCUUCGUGUAAACGGAUUAUUCGUCCACCGCCAUCUCUUCCUCGUCCGCCCGCCCCGCGAUACAGAAGCAUGUAAAUAACGCAAGGUGAACUUUUUUGUACACAGGAAGCCUGAGGUGCGUACAGACAAGAAGAGCUGGACAGAGUGUUGUGUGCCGAGGCGGCUAUCAGGGCACUGCAUGAAAAGGAGGGUUGUCGUAGCGGAGUUGUACUGAUUUUGUGGUUGCAUUGCAGUGUAGAAGUAGAAUAUUCUAACCCCCCCUCCCUCCCCCAAAGAAACAACAAUUUCACAUGCCCAUUCCUUUCACACGACAGGCAAAGAAACAACACCGUGAAAAAAAUCCUUUGCUGGCUUUUCAUUGACGCCACGAGGCUGACGCUGCUGAAAAGGAUUGUGAUGGAGCUGUGUGUCCCCGGUGCUCUCGGCGCGAUCGUUUUCGCAAUGGCACCAUGCCUUGCCUUCGCUCGUUUUUUUCCCUUUUCCGUCAGUGGCUGUUGUGGGUGAUGGGCGUCUUUUUGCGAUGCACACGUCUGCGUACCUGCAUGUCUCCUCCUCUUCACGUAUGGCCGGUAUCGCCCGCCCGCCCACAUCUUGUAGCACAGGACCCAGGAAGAGGACUUGACGGAGAAGAGCGGCGAAGCAAGGCGGGAGGCGAAUCACAAAGUUCAUGCGAAAACACAAAAAAAAACGAAGGAAAAAUGCGUGCGAGGAAUGGGAGGAGGAGAUGAGCGGCGAGGAGACGAGCGAAGGAGAACAAACAUUAGUGGGGUGAUCUCCGCAUGCGCACUAAAUUAUUAUUAUUACUAUUAUCAUUAUCUGUUGUUUUUGCUUCUUUCUGGCUUCUUUGCUGCUGUGGUGCUUCGUCUCCCGCUCCUUCUCCCUAUGAGUAUCUCGACUUUGUCACCCCCUCCAUUCCGAGCGACUAGCGCAUCCAUGAAGAUUGCUGAUACGUAGUAUUGGGUAAGAUGCAUGGAUGUGCCCCCCCUCCUCCUCCCCUCGCCUCGCCUCAGCCGUUUCCGCUAAAAACGUUUCGCUUUUUUUUUCCGUUAUACGAGUAUCUGCUCUGUUGGCGUUUGAUACAGCACACUUCAGCUGUUCCUCUCGUGUGCGUUAUUUUUCAGUCGUCGAUUCUUGCGUUCUAUUCCAGCUUCCUUCUCUCUUUUCUUUAUUGGUGUGAUGCCCGUGAAGGGGCCCGGGUGACUCCGCCCUCCCACUCGCUCCGCUCUCGGCCUGUCUCGUCGCGUGCGUUGCUCUGAAUGUUUCUCUUUCUUUUUUUCUUGUGUCGUGCGUAUGUACCCUGAUGACGCCGGCCACCUCUCACCCCUGCCAUCAGCGCCUGGCAACUCACCCUGUGUGGGGCAGGCCAAGCAGCCUGCAGCCUGCCCUCGAGUGCGGUUGCGGACUCUCGGUGCGGGCGGACAGGUCUGGGCUGGCGCUGCGCCGAAGAGGCGUUAUGGCCGUGACCACGUUUGCACCAGCUCAGUGCGAGCUGUGCCGAUGAUUGUACAAACAUACACACCCACUUCCUGUUUUUCUGCUUUAGCUGCGUUGCGGUAGUGCUGAGCAUUGGUCUGGGCCUAGCCUGCGCUGUACGCAGUGGAGUUGCCGUGGGCUGGACGACGCCGAGCGGCAUUGCUUGGUGUGGCUUCUUGACAUGGCUGUGGUGCAACGGAGGCAGAUGAGGGGCGACCGUAUGCGCAUCUUCGCUGACUCGGUUUGAUGCUGCCCUGGUGUAGGGAACAAUAGUUAUGGCUCUCCACUCUAGAGGAGGGAGUCUUUCUCACGCCGCUUCUUCGGUUUUGUUCUUUCUGCGUUGUUGUGAAAGCCACCCCUCUCUUUCCUUCUCUCCAUCGAUGCGUUCAUUGGCGGCGCUCUCUGUCUUUUUCUUCGCGUCUUCUCAUGCUCACACACGCACACGCACUGCUUGCACCGGGUGGGCAUUACGGUCUCCUCCUCCACCGCCCCCACUCUUUGCUUGAUCAGUGCUUUCCACUGUGCUCCUCCUUGCCGACCUCUUUGGCACGCUCACCCCUCUCCGAUUGGUCUCCCCCCGCCUCUCCCCGACAUCAUCGCGCACCCCUCGCCUCUGCCCUUCUCCGCACGUUUGGUGGCUCACUGCCGUGUCUCUUUUUUUGUGCUUUCUCCGUCUUUGUUGUGUUUGCGCUCUCCUCACUACUCUCCUCUCGUGCGCUCGUGUGCGCGCACCCGCUGUAUCUCCACCCAACCCUCUCCCGUGCCUUUCAUGUUUUUUUUCUCCCUCUGUCUGAGGCGACGAGCGGCACUGUCGGUGGCUGAUGGCGGUCUAUUGCCGGUGGUGGCGCAUGAGUGUGUGCGUGCUGGCGGCUCCUCCUGUCUCUUGCUGGUUUUCUCUCUUUCCCGUUUUCUUGUUGCCUCUCUUUUCUCUCUCGAUGCGUUGCUUCCCUGCGCACAGGCCCUCUUGGUGCGAUACAUGAGAAGCGUACGCUAGCCGUUGCGUACCUCUCAAG
rnacentral:misc_RNA from 1 species